rnacentral:tRNA from 1 species
UCCCAGGUGGCUCAGUAGUAAAGAAUCUGCCUGCCAAGCAGGAGAUGAGGGUUUGAUCCCUUGAUUGGGAA